GCAUAUACAGCUUUUUUCCUCUAACACAAUUGCAAUUUGUUUAAAGACUGACUCCCCCUCAACAGCAAAGAAUUAAGCGUCCAGGAAGUGCUCAGUGAUAUGUGCCUUGAUUCUUUCUAGAUGUUUACCAACAACUGAGCUCUAAUCACAUUUGACUGGCCCAAGGCUAACAAGGAAACUUUGACUUUCCAGGCAUCGGUGAUCUUCAAUGACAGGCUGUAACCUCUACUCAGGAAGAGUGAGGGCAGUGGCACCCAGUCCAUGGGACUCUGUACUCAGAGAUGAUGCUGAAGACCUGUAGUCCUCUGGUCUCCAUGGUGAAUUACAGCCACCUGCUGGCAGUGCUUGGGCCUACAGUAUAUCCAUCUCUGUAGUGAUGGCAGCACCAGCCUUUUGAACUCCCUGCUCAAGGAAGCUGCUACCAUCUCUAAACACGGUGGCUUCUGCCUCCUUUAAAGAUACCUCUUGGAGAUCAGGUCGGCCAGAUUCCGUAGUCUCCAACGGUUCUUGGCAGUCAUGGACAGGUAGGACACUCUAAGAAGACAAAGCUGGGCCUUUUUGGCCGAGAUCCAAUACCUGAGCACCUGAAGGAGGUUUCUGGACCGGCAAAAAUGGAGUAUUCCAGGUGGAUUGACAUGGUAGGGAGGCAAUACAGGAGGAGCCAAGGGAGCUGAGGAUCCGGACAAAAGUGUGUGGUCUCGCUUAAAAUGACCUUGGAGGUAAGAUUAUGAAUGGCACAUGAGCGGAGCCAAGGGGGAGGGCUCCGGACCAAUCUCAGCCAUUGAUCAAUGUAGGGAAACGGAUCGGGGUGACCGGGAGUUCCAGCAACGACCCGCCACACAGCCUGAAGAGCUGUGAGAUUCAGUGACCCUUCUGGGGGCCACACGGUUCCAAACUGUGGUCAUUCUACUUCACAGAGUAUCUGGAGUUUGCCUUUUUUAAGGUGGACCCCAUAAUUCUCUGAGAAGCCUAGGGAGAAAUUUUGUAACAUACAUUGGAGAGGGCUCCAAUCUUUAUGAGGCUGGGAAGAAGAGUUUCCCAUUCUGGAGGCAAUUUAAAAAGGUUUCAGCAGAAAUAUUAAACCCAGCACAGACAGAGAAAUUCAAGACCUGGGGGGCUGCAGUAUCAGAAGAACAGAAGUAUUAUAACCAGAAGAAGAAGGAAAACAACCAUAGUCAACACUUCUUGCCACAUAAGGACGGUCUGUUUAAGCUUUGAGAUCUAGGGGGAGGACAAGAGGCAGGUCUGAGGCCAGUGGGACCUACGUGAUCCCCUCCUUUUUGUCCUAUAGCCUAAAUAUCUUUGGUGUCUCCAUGACUUGAAGGCAAAAAGUUCAAACUUGGCCUUUUCUUUUAAGGGUUGAAAAAGGGAGGACAGAACCAAGUCUUGGAGACACUGGAUUUGCUGCAACACAGGAAAAUGAGAUGUGCAGGGUAAAGGAUGGGAAUGAGGAGGAAAAGGGGCCACUUGGAUUUUUCCAGGCUAGGAGGAGCCAUGCCGGGCAGCUCUGGGUCACCAGGGCCACUCUGCGGUCCCCCGCCCUGCCUCCAGGCCCUGUCAGACGCUGCAAGCCCAGCUCAGAAGCCUGGCCUGGGACCAAGUUCACUGCAGCAGGCUGGGCCCUUGCAUUCUGAGCUGGGUGCGGAUGCGCUGGUGCUCUGGGAAGUCAGGGGCUUUGACAACUGAA
rnacentral:lncRNA from 1 species